rnacentral:rRNA from 1 species
UACAGAGGGGGGCAAGCGUUGUUCGGAAUUACUGGGCGUAAAGGGCGCGUAGGCGCCUUCUAAGUCGAACGUGAAAUCCCUGGGCUCAACCCAGGAACUGCGUCCGAUACUGGAAGGCUUGAAUCCGGGAGAGGGAUGCGGAAUUCCAGGUGUAGCGGUGAAAUGCGUAGAUAUCUGGAGGAACACCGGGUGGCGAAGGCGGCAUCCUGGACCGGUAUUGACGCUGAGGCGCGAAAGCCAGGGGAGCAAAGCGGG